AGGCAGCGCAGCCCGCUGGAGCCCAGCCCAGCCCAGCCCAGCCCAGUCGGUGCCGGCGCGGCGCAGCGAGCGGACGCCGGCAGCAUGGUCAGCGCGGCCGGGGAGCUGGCGCUCAUCGCGCUGGGUUUUUUAUUACCUGUGUGUCAUGCCCUGGAGAACACGACAUCUGCCUUGAAUGGUCCUCCAGUGGCGGCAGCAGUCAGAUCCCAUUUUAAUGCUUGCCCCGAUUCCCACAGUCAGUUCUGCUUCCAUGGGACCUGCAGAUUUUUGGUGCAAGAGGAUAAGCCAGCAUGCAUCUGCCAUUCUGGGUAUGUCGGGACGCGCUGCGAGCAUGCAGACCUCCUUGCCGUGGUAGCUGCCAACCAGAAGAAACAAACCAUAACUGCCUUGGUGGUGGUGUCAGUGGUAGCAUCAGUCGUACUUAUUGUGGUGUGUGUGCUAAUACACUGCUGUCGGGUAAGGAAGCAUUGCGAGUGGUGCCGAGCUUUUGUCUGCAGACAUGAGAAGCCUGGUGGGCUCCUGAAGGGGGGAGCUUCUUGCUGUCAUUCAGAGACAGGUAAGGAGGAACCAGCGUUACAUCAGGGGUUUCCUUCCACGAGCUCCACCCCAGAGACUGCAGUUCUCAUGUGUCAGAGCAGAGUCCCAGCAGUGGUCUGAAGGGGACUAGGAUUUUACCGACACAUUAAUUGCCAUGGCCAGAUGGAAUUGCUGUAGCAUAAGAAGGCCUAUGCUAUUCCGGAGAACUUUUUUUUUUUCCCAUGGAAGUCAAUGCUUUGAGAGGGAUUAGCAUUGAGCAUUUUCUACCUUCCCUUGAACCUUCAUAUGCAUCCUGUAUUAUAUGCUGAGCUUUCAGAACCUUGCAAAACCAAGGCCACCAUCUGUUUGGGGCUAUGCAAUGUGGAGUCGAGAAGUUAAUUAGAAGACCACAUUUUAACCAUGGACUCUUAAAGACUUUUACAAGAGUUCAAAGACUUGGACAUGGGAGCAGCACAUGGAUGCCGGGUAGGUCCGGACCAGGCAGCUCGCUGCUGUUCUUGCUGGCAUGAGAAUCGGCUGGUGAAAUAAUAGCCUGGGAUGUUGUUUAUAUUAUGAUAGAGCCUCGGAGCCAGUCACGCACUUGACGACCUGCUGCUGUUGUGCAAGGUGCUGUAUAAACACAGAGAAAAAUCAUGCCUGUCCACCAACAUCUAAAUAAUGCAUCUACUGACUCCUAGCUGCCAUGGGAGGUGCAGGCUGGGAACCGAGGGCAGACUACGAGUGCUGUGAUUCAGUUUGGUGGUCACAAAAGACUUCCCAAGAUCCUUCGUUCCACCUCCAAAAACAAUUGCAUUCACUGGAUGCAGCUAAAUUGUGUAUUAAGGCACUUUUCCUGAUGUGCAUUUAAUUUGGUACCUACAAUGUGAGGUACUAAAUAAAUACGCAUUAGGCUGCCUUAAUGUGCAGUAAUGAAUGUGCGUGGUUUUUAAGUGGCAUGUAAUGUGCAGUAGCCUAUUUUUACUGCACAUCAGCAUAAUAGCAUGGUGUUUUACGUGACGCUUUGAUGUGUAGUAAAAUAGGCUACUGUGAAUUAAAGCUCACAUGUAGACAUGCCCACUAUGAGCCCCUCUCAUGCCUACCUAGCUGUUUCAGACCAUCGCCAUUGCCAUGGUAUCGGAGUUCUUGAAUUCAGUAUCUACUGGCCCAAGUAUAGGAAGUAAAUUGAGUAUCUGCUGUUGACUGAGUUCAAGUUAUUCCAGAUUUGCCAGGUGUGACUGAGGUCAGAAACUCAUCUCACAGUGUUUUGAUCAUGAAAUGUGAUGUAAUUUACCUCUCAUUGCCUGAUACUCAUCUAGCCCAGUUCCCUACUGACUUAGCUAUACAGCUAUCCGCAGACUAUUGCACAGCUUUUGUGAAAUACCUGUGAUGGGUCUUAUUCCAGUGGCUCAUAGGCAAGUGUCCUCAUACCAAAACAGUGGCAGUCAUUAACAUCCUUAGGUGCUGUGUUGUCAUAAACAAGGAGGAAAAUCUGAGGGAUGGAGACUGAAUUGUCAUUUUUUUUCCCCUCUGAGGUGGUGGCCCUGGGGAUUCUGGCUGUGAAGGUGAGGUCUGCCCUUUUAAGCCCCUCACUUUGCCUACUUUGUAUAAAUGAACUCUCCUAAAAAGUGACCUUAGGAAGAUAGAAGCUUGUCUCAAAUCAUUUUGACUCCGAGUUCCUUUCAGACCCCCUUGGGAACGUGUAUAGGAAAUGGCAUUUGAGAAAUAAGGAGUGAUUCACUGAUCUCAAAGCCAAACAGGCUCAUUAGUCUCUGAUAUGAGCUUUUGCAGAGCAUGAGUGUAAGCACCUCACCCAGUGACUCCUAGCUAUUGCCCAUAACUUCGUUUUGAUUAACCAGGUCUUUUUCAUACAGAUACCUAGAGUCACUCACCCUCCCGUGUCUUCUGUAUUCCAGUUUCUCUCUCCUUAUACUCUUUCUGAACAUCCUUUCACAGCAUCUGGUGAAGUGAGCUUCAGCUCACAAAAGCUUGUGCUCAUAAUAGAUGGAACUACUUUGGUUAGCCUUAUAAGGUGUAAAUUGACCCUGCUUUUUAUUUGACUUCAGACUAGCAGGGCUAACAAUGGUUCUAUAUAGAUACCCAGUCCACAGCAGAAGAGGGCAAGCAAUAGGGAGCCCACCUUUGUGAAGGCAGGCUGCCAAAGCUGAGUCCAAGUGGAACUGGCAUAACUUCAUGCCUCAUGGAGCUGGCUACAGUUUGAAUGCCAGGCUUUGGCAUUCAGAGCAGGGCUCUUGCUAUUAGAUUGUCAAGUCACACUUGGCAUAGCACUAAGGGGUGAUGCAGGGAAGGGUUUGUCUUGCUUUGCUGUCUCUAGGCAGGGAGAAUCUGCUGCUGACUCUGGGCACCUCCUGGACUGUGUCUUUGAAGAAUCUUCUGUUAUUUAAAGGCUGCCAUAUAGUCAGGGUUUUUGUCCAAGGGUAGUGGCACUGGUGUUGUCUGCAGGGCUCUACAAGCUGCCAGUCAUGGUGUGACUUGCCCAGGGAGAAAUUACAGCUGUAAAAGAAGUUUUUGUACUUCACCCAGGGGCUUAUGCUGGAAUGGCCUAAUGUAAGACAUCACAGGCUUCUCAGAGCUGGGGUAAUCCUUGAUUUCACUCUUUGAAUCUAAUCUGCAGCUAUGCCUCCCUGUCUGUCUUGCACUGAGCUUUGCAGCAUGCGCCAUGCUAUGGGGCCUGCUCCCUUGGACUGAGAGCAGAGAAACAGGAGGAACAUGUGGGCUAGAAAUCUCCAUUGCUUAAACCCAGUCAGCGAAAGGCUGAACAGGGGAGUCCUGGCCAGCCAGGAGGGGAGGCUCCUGUGCAGCUGGGUUUUUCAGCCAGUGCUACAAUGAAAAGAGAUGAGAGAAAGUAGCUACAUUUUUCACAACAGUGUCUUUUCCCAGGUGAUAAAAUCUUUCCUUGGUCCUGGGGGAAUUGUGCUCAGUUUGGUAAGUGAAGACACAGUCUUUUCUAACAAGGUAGAGUGUCCUCUACCCCGUGGGAGUGACUUUUUGUCUAAGACAAAUCGGUAAGGAGCUGUCCCUCCUGCCAGCUACAGGAGAGGCCCCUAACAUUAGAAAUGGCAAACUGUAUCAUUGUCAUUCCUACCCUGUCAUCUCACAAGGCAGAGAUGCAUGGUUGUUGUUGGUCAGUGGCCCUUUCUCAAAAAGAAUGAGAUUGGACCUGCACUCCCUGGGCCUUGAUUCAGCAAAGAAUGCAAGUACCUUCUUACCCUCAAGCAUGGGCAAAUUUGUUUCACUUUGCUGGGGGUCCUCAUAGCCACUUGGCUAAGAAUUGUGUGUCCAGAACACCAAGGCAGCUAUGACUGAAUGAAGUGUCUACCCAGCUCUGAAUAUCCUGCCAUUCACGAUUCAGGGUGAGUUGUCAUUAAGCAUCCUAUGCCCUUGCUACAUCCCCCUUGACUUAAGGCCCCAAUUAAGUUCACCAUCAUUAACACACAACCUGAGUUCUGGGCAUCAUGGCUGUAACCAUUUCCCUUUCAUCAUCACAGAGCUGAGCUCAUUCAUGGCCAUGACAUAAAGCUGUGUGAUCAGAAGCAAAUUCCCCUCCCCACUGAAGGUUGCCCUACUUUCUCUUUCUGGAUUUUAACAGUCAAUAACUUGCCUCCAGUCUGAACCACCAGUGAAUGGAGCUGGUGGGCAAUGCACUGGGCUCCAAUUGAACACCAGACAGCUCAUUAGCAUUGAUUGGAUGUGAAGGGCCAUUGAAGCAGAAUCACACACAUCCCCCACUACCCUGGCCCAGAGCUUUGUUUCUGGUGGAGGUCUGAUGCCUGACAAUGACAAGAGCCUUGGUUUUUAAAUGAGCAGAGGAGCAUAAAAGGGUGGAGUUCUCUUUUGCCCUGUUGACUCUCAAAGCUGUAUCAGGGCUAGGGAGGAGGAUUGUCCCUGCGGCUUUUCCUUCCAUAGAAAAAAGGAUGGAAAAUUCUUCACAGAAACAUCAGGUACAGUUAUUGCCAAGUGGAAAAGAGGUGGCAAUGUUCGUGCUCAAGGUCUUAUGGGUGGCAGGGUGGCAAAAACCUUGUCAGGUGGUCAUUUCAGUCAGGGAAGCAGCAGGGAGGUAGGUGGGUUUGGGUUAGUUGAGGGUGGGAAGUGAGGUGUGCGUGUGAGGCCUCAGUCCCUGUUCCUCAGCUGCAGUCACAAAGCCAACACACUGGAUGAUCCAAAGUCUGACCUCUGGAUGUGAGCCCCUCUGGGUGAGUAGGCUUUACCGAAUUUGGAGGGCAGGGGGAUGCUCUUAUUUUUGCCUAGUCGACAAAAGGUACACUGAGGCUACAUGAUUUGCCCAAAGCCACAUGGGACAUCUGUGGCAGAGACGGGGACAGACCCUGCUAUCCCUAACCCUGACACAGAAUUGUGUUGGCAUUCCCAUCAAAUUUUUGCUGUGUCAGAUGCCUGCCUCUGUGUCACGCAGGCCAGAGCCUCAAGCCUGUUUCUCACAUGGCUUCUCUGCCCCACUGAAGCCCUGAACAAGAAAAAAGUUAAUGAGAGGAGGGAAGAAUGGUUAGUGCUGUUGUUUCCCAGUGCUGAGGCCACCAGGGGCGGGGGAGCUAGCUGGGCCAUGCCAAUGACCCCAGCUUGUUUAUCUUAGAGCUGGCACCAACACCGCAUACCUCUCCAUUAAUAAAUGCUGUCACAAAGGGCUACGCUAUCUGGUUGUUAAGCAAACCUGGCACUUGCCUCCUACUGAAAUUCCUUGCCUUUGCCCUGCAGGGCUGCCUCCCUUCACUGUACAUCUGAGCCCCGCAGCCAGGAGGGGUAAGUUAUUCAAAGGGAUGUUUGCUAUGUGGGUUCCUGGAGCCGGGCCAGGACACUGCAGUUUCUAGGCCUCAUCCUGCAGCUGUGGGAAGCUGGGCAGAGGAUAGUCGAGGCUUCCUCCCCUUCCCCUCCAGUGGCCUUGAGGCUUUGGGUCCUAAGCAGUCUCCUCUCUGUGAAUGGCUGUAUUGUUGUCACUCCAGCCGGUGGAGGGGAGCUGAUCAGCAUAAAGUCUUUGAGGGUCUGUCAUAGCCCCUUGCUCAGCAAAACAGCACAAGCCAGGGCACAGUGUCCCCACUAGGACAACCUGUGUUCAGCUGAGCUGCCCCUGCAGGCACAGGGACUGGGGAGAUCUGUAGGAGACCUGAGGAAGGGAUUUUUCAGUUCUGAAGCUCCAAACCCACUCAAGUCUUUUCCACUGCUCUGAUUCUGUCUGCCUUGCCUGGCUUGGGGGUUGUGGGGAGGUUUUGUACCUGUCCAGUGGGCAGGACCAGGGGGAGGAUGUUUCCCUUGCAGGUAUCAGAUCCCAUGGUCUCUCAGGAUGAAGAAGCAGAAAGCUCCCCCUUGGUUGAGUUCAGGAGUAUGUGCUUAAGGCAGCAGUGGGGCACCACUGUCAUGCUCAGAGCCCUCACAGUGGGUUUAUACUACAGCAGUGCUCUUGGCACCCCCUUUGCCAUGCAGAUCUGCCCUUUGACUUCAAUCUCCUCUGGCAAAGCCAAGCCCAGAAAACCAGCUUGAGCCUCAUUGCUCAGAGCUGCUGAGCCACUAUUUCAGGUGGCUGCUCUCACUCUGGAGAGGGCUUUCUCCCUCUACUCUGGCAGAGGCAGGCACACAGAUCCUUGAACCCAGCUGGAGCCACAUGUUUUCUGAAUUGCUGUCACAGUCCUGUGGGAGCUGCAUGCUGGGUAAUCCCUUCAGCCUCAUUCACGAGCCGAAACUGGCAUCUGGCCAUUGACAAGGAUGCCUGAAACUGUGGCUGGGCAAUCCAAAGGGCAUUAUCUGCUAGCACAGCAGCUGGAACUGGGCAGAGAGCAGGAUCCCCCUGUGCUGGGGGACAGAGACGGUCAUGCCUGGCUUCCAGCUGUCAGCCAGGUCAGCUCAGCCAGGGAGAGACAAACCCUGCCCUGUAAUGAAUCCCCUUGAAAGAUGAACCCAGAUGAGUUUCUAAAGUAUCCUGCUGCAGGUAAAUGCUUAGGGAAGUGUGUUGCUGUUUGCCUAGAGAGAGGGGGGUAGAAACCCUGAUCACAACAUGACGGAAGUAUAGCAAAACCCCCAGUUUUUCUUUUUUUUUUUUUUUUCUUUUAAAAUGCAUUCCCUCCCCUUCCCCAACCAUUUAUGACUUUUUCUUUCCCUCUCUAUACCCUAUAGAUAAGUAUAAGUGAUCUAAGACAUAGGAUAAGCUUCAGCAUUUUAUUUUGGUAGCAAGUUGUAUUUGUUUUAUUUUUUCUUCUUCUUUAUAUUGUAUAAUUAUUAUGUUUAUAUUGAUUUUUACUGUUCUAUGUUACUGUUUUACUAGUACGAUAUGAUUUAGGCCUACAUAUGUAAGUUAGCAUAAGGCAUGCCAAGUUUCCAUUUUGUUUGUCAAGUCUCCAUCCUGUCCCCAGGCCCGGUUGUGUAACCCAUGACUCGCACCUACCCCUC